ACGUUGAAAUGGCCACAGACCCACAGUAAUGCGUUCACGGUUUGUUUUGUGACCACAUUUGGGCAGAGCACUACCACGCUACAUUCCCCAGGGUGCAGCGGCCCGCUGGACACUAAGAACUGCUGAAACCAUCAGUUUGUCUGCUAAUUGAUUUGGGUCGGUCAGACUCCUCCCCACUCAUUGUCAUUCAUAUGUGAAACCGAAGGCCCAGCGGACAAGGAAUAGUCUGCCACCGAAAAUCAGGAAGGCGGACUGCUGGGAAAUUCCAUCCAAACGGAAAACCUUCCUCUUGAAUCUCCGUAUGGCUGAAGAGUGAAUACUUGAGGCAGAGGAGGAUGAGGAGGAUCAACAUAAAUGAACAGGGAGGAAGGGUGUUGACAACAUGUUGUUGGGAGAAACUUCCUUACCAAAUAUCUCUCCCAAAAGACUAGAGAUCUCACAGGGCCUGAGUUCUAGUCCAUGCGUUCUAUAACUCGAUUUUGUACUCUGCUUUUCAUCUGCUUUCAAAAACACGAUGUAUGAGAUGAAAAUAUAUUGCUCUCUGUGGAAGCCAAGUCAAAGCAGAGAGAGAAGAGGGAUGGAGAAAAAGAUGUGUUCAGAGAGGAAGCCAUAGAGAGAGAGAAACAGGCAGAGAGAGCUAGAGGACGAAACGUUCAGAAUGAGAGUGACAGCGAGAGGAUCAGAAAGCAAGAGAGAGAGGGAUAAAGAGAAGGAUGGAGAGAUAUAGGUUCAGAGAGAGGAAGGGACUGGUUCAGAAAGAGAGAGAGGUUUGAAAUAAGAGAGAGAGAGGGAGAGCGAGAGAUUUGAGAUUUUACAAAACAACUUUAUUUACAUAUUAGUUAAAUUUCAUGAACAUUAAUAAAGUGCAAUUUGUGUGUGUCUCUUCUGUUAAAAGUAAAUUAUCUUUUAAAAAUGUGUACAAACAGCAAGUCCACACUAGAACAGACAAUGUUUUUAUAGCACCAGCGAUUUUUAAAAGUGUCCAAAUCUCCAAUAUUUUUAUAAAAUGUGUACUCCAGCCACAGCCUGGCCCUGAUGUUGCAAAGCCAGACUGUGCGUGAAUCCUGUCCUUUGUUUUCCACACGUUUUUUUCUACUAAUGUAGAUUGCCAUUUUUGCUUCCCCCGAGAGAUAAUUUAAUAAUUGCCACUUGUCCUUUCCUUCUUUUUUGUACCCAGCCCCCAUGAUAAACAUUCUCAGAGAAAUUGACACCAAACCAAUUAAAAACCAAUGCUAAAAGAGUGUAAAACUGUGUGAUCUCCCACUCAGGAAAAACGUGAAUAACUGUCUCAGAGAUUAAAAAAAGGACACAUGCUCAAAACAGAUGAAUUAAUAACAGAAAUAAAAGAAUUGGAGGCGAUGGCACCAUGUAAAAAUCUCCAUUGGUGGUCGGCAGUCCACUUCUUGAGGGGAGGUUUAUAAAACAACUUCCACUGUGGGCUGGGCCCAUUGCGCCCCCUAACCUGUUGGUCCACACAGUGGGGGGGCGAUCGGGCCCAUUGCGCCCCCUAACCUGUUGGUCCACACAGUGGGGGGGCGAUCGCUCAGACCAGCUCGGUUGACGCUCUUCACGCAGUUUGCAUAGACAGUUUCUUUAUCAUCCCUGUUUACUGAGAGCCUAUUUGGGCAACAGGGAGUGAGCAGGGGGCCUGUCAGCUCUCCUACCACGGGGCUCAGGUGGACAUCAGGAGCCAGCGGGGUCUGGUGUGGCUCCCCCUAGGUUGUAGUCCAUCAGAAGGCUUUUUUCUUGGUGGUCAGCAGGGGUGGACUGGUCAUCUGGCAUACCGGGCAUCGUCCCGGUGGGCCGUUGACCCAAUGUGGGCCGGUCCGGUCCGCUAUGUUUUGUUUUUUUCUCUCUCUCUAAAUUCCCUCCAAUUGGGCCG